GACGAACGCUGGCGGCGUGCUUAACACAUGCAAGUCGAACGGAAAGGCCCUGCUUUUGUGGGGUGCUCGAGUGGCGAACGGGUGAGUAACACGUGAGUAACCUGCCCUUGACUUUGGGAUAACUUCAGGAAACUGGGGCUAAUACCGGAUAGGAGCUCCUGCUGCAUGGUGGGGGUUGGAAAGUUUCGGCGGUGGGGGAUGGACUCGCGGCUUAUCAGCUUGUUGGUGGGGUAGUGGCUUACCAAGGCUUUGACGGGUAGCCGGCCUGAGAGGGUGACCGGCCACCUUGGGACUAAGAGACGGAGCAGACGGCUACGGGAGGCAGCAGGGGGGAAUAUUGCGCAAUGAGCGGAAGCCUGAUGCAGAAACGCCGCGUGCGGGAUGACGGCCUUCGGGUUAUAAACCGCUGUCGCCUGUGACGAAGCGUGAGUGACGGUAAUGGGUAAAGAAGCACCGGCUAACUACGUG
rnacentral:rRNA from 1 species